CACGCCGUUGUGGUUACCGAUCGUCUCACAGCGACGAUUUGUACAGCCAGCGAUUGCGAGGUAGAGUUGUCGGUCCUUUGACGGAGUAGCCGGUCCUUGUGCAGAGUUGUCGUUUAUAGUUCGUUUCAUGGUUUGAGAUUCUCAUUGAAUGACGUUAUAUUGAUACGUUUAUUAUAGACUAGCAGAAUAUUAGUUUAUUUCUCCAUACGUAAAGAAAGUCCAUAUAGUAUAGGACAGAGACCUAAAACAAUACUUAUAUUUUACAGGUACGGAAGUCCGUUUACUAUAGAACAACGACCUCAAACACAUUUAUAUCAGUAUUUUACAGGUCAGGACCGUCCGUUUACUAUAGAACUGUAACCUAAAGCACAAUGAAAAUUUUCUUUCUCCUGAUCGUCUGCUUAGCCGCAUCUCAUGCUCUACCCGAAGGAGGAUGCUAUUUGGCACGAUGGCGGCUGUUAGUUUUAAGGACCCAGGGGCCGUACGCGGCGCCUAUGCGGUAGUAUAAUCGGGGGGGGGG